rnacentral:rRNA from 1 species
AAGUCUUCUGGGAAAUCUAAUCGCUUAACUAUUAGGCUUCCAGGGGAUAUUGUUAGACUUGGGACCGGGAGAGGUAAGAGGUACUGCAGGGGUAGGAGUGAAAUCUUGUAAUCCCUGUGAGACCACCAGUGGCGAAGGCGUCUUACCAGAACGGGUCCGACGGUGAGGGACGAAAGCUGGGGGCACAAACCGGAUUAGAUACCCGGGUAGUCCCAGCUGUAAACGAUGCUCGUUAGGUGUCAGGAACGGUGCGACUGUUUCUGGUGCCGAAGGGAAGCCGUGAAACGAGCCACCUGGGAAGUACGGCCGCAAGGCUGAAACUUAAAGGAAUUGGCGGGGGAGCACUACAACGGGUGGAGCCUGCGGUUUAAUUGGACUCAACGCCGGAAAACUCACCGGGGGCGACAGCAAUAUGUAGGUCAGGUUAAAGGUCUUACCUGAAUCGCUGAGAGGAGGUGCAUGGCCGUCGUCAGUUCGUACUGUGAAGCAUCCUGUUAAGUCAGGCAACGAGCAAGACCCGUGCCCACUGUUACCAGCAUAUCCUUUAUGGAUGAUGGGGACUCUGUGGGGACCGCUGCUGCUAAAGCAGAGGAAGGUGCGGGCUACGGUAGGUCAGUAUGCCCCGAAUCUCCCGGGCUACACGCGGGCUACAAUGGUUGGGACAAUGGGUAUCUACUCCGAAAGGAGUUGGCAAUCUCUUAAACCCAAUCGUAGUUCGAAUUGAGGGCUAUAACUCGCCCUCAUGAAGCUGGAAUCCGUAGUAAUCGCGUUUCAACAUAGCGCGG